rnacentral:rRNA from 1 species
GACUUCACGAGGCCGUAAGAUUCAUGCCAAGUUUAGAACGUCGUGUUCGGCAGGCUUCCUGGUUUCAACUGGUUUCAGGAUUCAGGCACUUGGGUAUAGGCCUGUGAGUGAGUCCGUCCCAGUGAGAAGUCAAGCUACUUUGUCCAGAGCCCGGUUAUCGAUUGGCAGGUUGUUCGAUCAUGGGCUUAAGCGCAUGUAGCGGCGAUGAAAUGCGUCGAUGGAAUGCCCACCGGUUCGACCCAUGGGACCGUCUCAGGCGAUUACAUAUGCUUGAGGCAGUAGGGUAGGCGUGGCACUCCUGGUCGAAGCGGUGGGAUGGGUAGAUAUCGAGAGAUCGGCAGCGGGCGUAAAGCGGGCGCUCUGGGCCUUGUCCUGACGCUGAGAUGCGGAGGGCUAGGGUAGCGACUGGGAUUAGAUACCCCGGUAGUCCUAGCAGUAAGCGAUGCCUACUGGAUCGGAGAUCUUUGACAGAGUUCCGGUCGUAACAAGAGCGUUAAGUAGGCCGCCUGGGGAGUACGGUCGCAGGGCUAAAACUCAAAGGAAUUGACGGGGGCUCACACAAGCGAUGGAGCAUGUUGCUUAAUUCGAUGCAACGCGAAGAACUUUAUCCUGGGCUUGACAUGCUUGGAUACCCUCCUGGAAACAGGUCGGGUUGCCGUUCGGGGUGAAACUUGCACAGGUGCUGCAUGGCUGUCGUCAGCUCGUGUCGUGAGAUGUCGGGUUAAGUCCCUUAACGAGCGAAACCCUCGUCGUUAGUUGCCAACACGUAAUGGUGGGGACUCUAGCGAGACUGCCGGUGUUAAACCGGAGGAAGGUGGGGAUGACGUCAAGUCCUCAUGGCCUUUAUGCCCAGGGCUGCAAACGUGCUACAAUGGCUGGUACAGACCGACGCAAUGCCGCGAGGUGGAGCAAAUCGGAGAAAGCCAGCCCCAGUUCGGAUUGAAGUCUGCAACUCGACUUCAUGAAGUUGGAAUCGCUAGUAAUCGCGGAUCAUCAAUGCCGCGGUGAAUGUGUUCCUGAGCCUUGCACUCACCGCCCGUC